rnacentral:rRNA from 1 species
GAUAAACGCUGGCGGCGUGCCUAAAACAUGCAAGUCGAACGGUGCUCAUCCUUCGGGGUGAGUGCAGUGGCGGACGGCUGAGUAACACGUGGGUGACCUGCCCUCGAGCGGGGGAUAACUGCCCGAAAGGGUGGCUAAUACCGCAGACAUCAUGGGGUCGUACUCAUGAUUGAACCGAUUUAGGGUUCGGGGAGGGGCCUGCGGUCGAUUAGCUUGCUGGUGGGGUAAUGGCCUACCAGGGCUGCGAUCGAUAGCUGGUCUGAGAGGAUGAUCAGCCAGACUGGGACUGCGAACGGCCCAGACUCCUACGGGAGGCAG